rnacentral:rRNA from 1 species
UAAAGAAUUUCGGUCAUCGAUGGGGAUGCGUUCCAUUAGGUUGUUGGCGGGGUAACGGCCCACCAAGCCUUCGAUGGAUAGGGGUUCUGAGAGGAAGGUCCCCCACAUUGGAACUGAGACACGGUCCAAACUCAUACGGGAGGCAGCAGUGAGGAAUAUUGGUCGAUGGACGAGAGUCUGAACCAGCCAAGUAUCGUGAAGGAUGACUGCCUAUGGGUUGUAAACUUCUUUUAUACGGGAAUAAGUGAGGCACGUGUGCCUUUUUG